rnacentral:tRNA from 1 species
CGCGGGGUAGAGCAGUUUGGUAGCUCGCAAGGCUCAUAACCUUGAGGUCACGGGUUCAAAUCCCGUUUCCGCAA